rnacentral:sRNA from 1 species
UUACCGCACACGUAACAGCUGACUUGC